UACCUACGGGGGGCAGCAGUGAGGAAUAUUGGUCAAUGGGCUUACGCCUGAACCAGCUAUUCCGCGUGUGGGAUGACGGCCCUCGGGUUGUAAACCACUUUAGUAGAGAACGAAAAGGAGCUAUCGAAUAAAUAGCUCUGCUGACGGUACUCUAAGAAUAAGCACCGGCUAACUACGUGCCAGCAGCCGCGGUAAUACGUAGGGUGCGAGCGUUAAUCGGAAUUACUGGGCGUAAAGGGUGUGCAGGCGGCUGAGUAAGACAGAUGUGAACUCCCCGGGCUUAACCUGGGAACCGCAUAUGGACC
rnacentral:rRNA from 1 species